UACGUAGGGGGCAAGCGUUGUCCGGAUUAUUGGGCGUAAAGCGCUCGCAGGCGGCUCGAUGCGUCGUGCGUGAAACACCCCGGCUCAACUGGGGAGGGUCGUGCGAUACGGUCGAGCUUGAGGCCAGUGAGGGGGAUGCGGAAUUCCGGGUGUAGUGGUGGAAUGCGUAGAGAUCCGGAGGAACACCAGCGGCGAAGGCGGCAUCCUGGACUGGUACUGACGCUCAGGAGCGAAAGCGUGGGGAGCGAUCCGG
rnacentral:rRNA from 1 species